UACGUAGGCAGCGAGCGUUGUUCGGAGUUACUGGGCGUAAAGAGUGUGUAGGCGGUUUCGUAAGUUCGGUGUUAAAUCUCCCGGCUUAACUGGGAGGGUGCGCCGGAAACUGCGAGACUUGAGUACGGGAGAGGGAUGCGGAAUUCCUGGUGUAGCGGUGAAAUGCGUAGAUAUCAGGAGGAACACCUGCGGUGUAGACGGCUUCCUGGACCGUUACUGACGCUGAGACACGAAAGCGUGGGGAGCAAACAGG
rnacentral:rRNA from 1 species